rnacentral:rRNA from 1 species
AAMWUGMUUCCMAGAAGAAGCACCGGCUAACUCCGUGCCAGCAGCCGCGGUAAUACGGAGGGUGCSAGCGUUAAUCGGAAUUACUGGGCGUAAAGGGUGCGUASGUGGUUGAUUAAGUUAUCUGUGAAAUUCCUGGGCUUAACCUGGGACGGUCAGAUAAUACUGGUUGACUCGAGUAUGGGAGAGGGUAGUGGAAUUUCCGGUGUAGCGGUGAAAUGCGUASAGAUCGGAAGGAACACCAGUGGCGAAGGCGGCUACCUGGCCUAAUACUGACACUGAGGCACGAAAGCGUGGGGAGCAAACAGGAUUAGAUACCCUGGUAGUCCACGCUGUAAACGAUGUCAACUAGCUGUUGGAA